rnacentral:misc_RNA from 1 species
GCGAUAAAAAAAAAAAAAAAAAGUGUACCGGCGUGGGGAAUCGAAGGUGGUGUCGUGAUGAGUUCGUUCCGCGCUUGUAUAUUUGCGGUGUUUAUUGAUAUUAUGUGUGGCAAUCAUCGUUGUCAGUCGUCGACUGGAAGUGCAUCGCGUGUGGGAUGGAAUGGGCGGCCAAAGGUGUGUCAAGAUUUUGUGUUGGUGUUCUGUGGUGUGUCGUCGUAGCCUAACGGGCUCCUCGCUUUGUCUGCGCGCUCAGCGCUGCGUGAUCGGCGUGCUUUCCACGUUUCUUGAUUACGCACGGUUAUUGCGUGGUUCAAUCGAGUGCAUCUACUCAGACAGUCCACAGCCCAGUGCCUUGUCUGACGACGACGGCGACUGUGAAGCACAAGCGUGCGCCUCAGCGGAUGCCUAGGUAAGGCAGCCCGGGUGGCGUGUUCACACAGCAGUGAUGAUGUACGAGAAAAGUUGUCUGAUAGGCAAGUAUGGAUUCUGCUACAGAAUGGCCCAUGAACCCAACUUCCGAGCGGCACGCCUACUGGCCGAACAUCGAAGUGACCCGCCUGUGCGUAGCUUGAUCUGCCUACCACGCGUCGGCCUCGGUCAUCAUCUAACCGGCCUUGUCUUUCAUCUCUACCAACUGGAAAGCCAGCGUGGCCGACAGAGCAUAGACGACCGACUGUUCAAGGAACUGAAGCAGUGGACAGCUUGCUGUGAAAGAUGGGAGCAUUCUUCCUCUGGUCUGGACAAGCCCAUAUUAAGUGGGAGAUGUUCAAUAUCAACCCAAUGAGAGGCAGCAAAUGUGGAAAUGGACGCAAGUCAAGGACAGUUGCAGACAGCAAAAUAUUUAAACUGAUACAAUGAUUGUGCUGAAUCACCGAAGAUAUGAGCCAGAGUGAGAACAGUAUACUCGUACAGUUUGGCAGAAUAAAC